rnacentral:rRNA from 1 species
GACGAGCGCUGGCGGCGUGCUUAACACAUGCAAGUCGAACGGAAAGGCCCGGCUUUUGUGGGGUGCUCGAGUGGCGAACGGGUGAGUAACACGUGAGUAACCUGCCCUUGACUUUGGGAUAACUUCAGGAAACUGGGGCUAAUACCGGAUAGGAGCUCCUGCUGCAUGGUGGGGGUUGGAAAGUUUCGGCGGUUGGGGAUGGACUCGCGGCUUAUCAGCUUGUUGGUGGGGUAGUGGCUUACCAAGGCUUUGACGGGUAGCCGGCCUGAGAGGGUGACCGGCCACAUUGGGACUGAGAUACGGCCCAGACUCCUACGGGAGGCAGCAGUGGGGAAUAUUGCACAAUGGGCGGAAGCCUGAUGCAGCAACGCCGCGUGCGGGAUGACGGCCUUCGGGUUGUAAACCGCUUUCGCCUGUGACGAAGCGUGAGUGACGGUAAUGGGUAAAGAAGCACCGGCUAACUACGUG